CCUAUUCCAUAAAAAGACUUGGUAAUGGUGUUAACUCAAGAGAAGUUGUCCUUUUUGCCCUUACUCAUUUGACCCUAUUAUAUCAAAGUUUUUUUAUUCAUACCUUUUUACAUAUUUGUAACGAAUUUGGUAUAGUUUCCACUGAUUUGAGAUAAGUUUGAAAGAUUUGGCUUUCAAUUUGACAUAAUUAUGGCAGAUAUCUUCGAAAAUUUUCACAGCAUAUUGCCCUAUUUUGUUGAUCUCAAAUUGCAUAUAAUGAAGAAAAACACAAGUAUCAAAAUAGCCACUAGUUCUCUGUCGUUCAUGUAGGGAAACGUUUGUGUUGUUUUUGCUGCUAUGUAUGGUGUUCAUUCAAAAACCAAAAUUGCAGGAAGCACGUGGGACCCACCGGCGACGACAGGCAGGAGGCCAAUGCUGCCGCUGCCGUGCCUUUUGAUGCUCUCACCAUCGCCGCAGUCCUUGGCGCGUGAGCAGCCACCGGUCGACGCACUCUCUGUGGAACUCGUGCCCGCACGACAGCAGCACGCGCACCUCGUCGCCAGCGGCGUACUCCGCCGGCCAGGCACACCGCGCACACACCGCCCUCCUCGUCCGUCGACGACGUCUCCUCGUCGGCGACGGCGCCGUCGCGGGGCAUCUGGACCACGUGCGCCGGGAUCCCGUCGAGCGCGCGCUUGGUCUCCUUGGACGGCUCUGGCCGCAUCAUCGAUGACCCUAGCACGCCGUCUCGCCGUCACAGAAGCAGGCGUAGAGCUCGGUGAGCAUUGUCGCCCCCUUCAAGCGCUGCCAUCCCCUUCGAGCGUCUCCGCCGCCGCUCGCUCCAAGCGCUGCCUUCGCUGCCUCCACACGCUCUGAGCGGAGCCGUUGCCGCUCCUUCUACCUCGGCUGUGGCAACAGCUCCCUCUGCACGGCCGCCCCCUUCGAGCGUCGUCGCUGCCGCCGCCAUCGCUCAUUCUGCUCCCUCCAUGGAAAGUGGAAACCAUUGCGCCAGAUGAAGUUGGGGAUAAGAUGCUUUUCUGGGCAACGCUCGGCUCCGGAUCUAGGAACAUCUUCAAAAGUGUGAAGAGAACAUGGCAUUCUUAUAUUCUGCAUAUCGAAGCUUAGAAGUUACGGUCAUAUAGAUUUUUAUCAACUACGGAUGGAGAUUCACAUAUAGACUUCAAUAAUUGUUUUCUCGUUGUGUGUUGGCUUUAUUAUUUCUGUUCUUAUUAUUGUGUGAGCAUUUGCUCUCUUUAAGAGAAUUUUGUAAUAAGUGGAUGUAGAUUCUUUGAAGUAAAGGCCGGAAUUUUUAUUCCACCAUAUUAAAAAAAAUAUCAGUGUUGGUUUGUC